rnacentral:misc_RNA from 1 species
UUUUUUUUUUUUUUUUUUUUUCCUGCAUAAUUUCAGGAUUUUAGUUAAUGCUAAUUGCUAUCUAGGAAAACAAAAAUUAGGAUUUUUUUAAUUGAUUUAUUAAGGUCAUAGUUGGUUCGUGAUACAGUGACACUAUUUUAAUAUAAAUUACUAUGGUCACUUAACAGUUGCGAAAAAAGUGAAAAUACUAACCUGUUGAAUUGGGAAUUUAAUAAGCAAGUCAAGGUUUGGAGGAGCUUUAUUCGAAGGCUGCAUUUGGACAAGUGGGUCAAAGAAAAUAGAUGUCCGGUCUAACGUUAGUUUAAAGCAGACAAUCCAAAAGUCAAAAUAAAAAGUUAAAAUGACUACUAUACCCUUUAUCUUAUCUAUUUUUUUUUUCUUGUUUAAAAUAUUUAUUGAAGAAAAUAGCAGAAAUAGUAAAAGUAAAAUAAUAAUUGAUUAAGACAUAUGAACAAAUGCUUUCAGAAUUAUUAUUAAUUUUUAAAAUUUUGUAACCAUAUGUGAGAAAGGAAAUAUUGAUUUCAUAUUUUUUAAAAUUUUUACAAAUUUUAGUUUUUUAAUUGUCUUUAAUUUUAAUAACUUUAAUUGAUUUUAAUUAUAAUUUGUUAUUUGCAAAUUUUAAAAAGUAAAUGCUAUUUAAACUUCAUUUAAUUACGUAAAGUCACUCUUGUAAGGCUAGGAGAUGGUCGUCCAUCACUUUUUGGAAGGACAAGAAAUUACAGUUUGGACAAGACAAAAUCAUCUUCUUUUAUCGUCCUAAUGUGCGCCAAACAGAAGACAAUCAGGAUAUGUCUUAUCCUGUUCUGUCAUUUAUAGCAAAUGCAUUAAGAAUGAGUUGAAUUUAUUAUGUGUGCAUGAUUUUGAGAAGCAUGUUCUAAGACAAUUUUUAUUUCAGCAUUUAUGUUCCAAAAGCUUCUUUUAUGUGCUUCACUUUGCUAUAUUGUAAUUUGAAACACAAUCUUUUCUUCUCUUUUAAUAAGCAUCUUGAUUGUUUAAGAUUAAGUAAGUGGACUCUAAAAAUAGUACUGUGUUUGAGUUCUUAAUUUUGAAGCUGAUAUGAUUACAAAUUUAACUAGAAUUGGAGAGAUUGUGAAAAUGUAUUAAACUUUGUAUAGGAAAAAUAUGAAUAAUGCAUAUGGUUUAUUUUUUAAUGAAAAGUUUGAUGUUCUAUUGCAAAUAUUAUGAUUAUAAAACCAUAUAUGAUCAUGUGGAUAGAAGUACACCAAAUCUUUUUGACCACUGUUAUGACAUUGGAAAUGCAUUCGGUUAACAUUCUCUUUAUUGCAGGUGCUCUCAUACUUUGCUGUUGUGAUGGUUUUGAUAUUUCCCUUUGAUAUUUUUCAUUUGUCAUCCGGCUACUACUUGUUAAGGACUCUUUGGCGGAUAGUUUUUCCACUACAGGCAAUUACAUUUUCUGACUUUUUUUUUGGCUGAUAUUUUGACCUCCAUGUCAAAGGUAUGCAUCCUAUUAUCUAACUGUGACCAUUUUGUUUGUUAAUGCAUACUCAUGCAUGUGAAAUUGUAAAUACAAUUGUGUAUCAUUCUCCUAUCCUUUUUGAAUAUAUAAACCUUGUGUGACAGUAACAUUAACUCUUCUGUAACUCAAAAUUAAAAUUCUUGGUUCCUUCUAUAAAAAAUUAAAAUACUUGGUUCCUUCUAUAAACAUAUAGACAAUUCUAGCUGUUGCCUUCUGAUGUCCAAAACGGAAGUUUUUUUUCACUGCAUUUUCAACUGGGUAAUGAUUCUAGUUGUUGAACCAUUUUUAUAGGUUCAAAAAUUCUUUUAUAUUCAUAGCUCCUUAAUGCUGGAAAAUCAGCCUUUGAAGCGUAUGAUAACAUGCAAAUAAGGUUGCCAUGUGGUAUCUGUGACGAACACAAAUUUUUUUUAUUCCUUUUUCUUCUUGAAGUCAACUAUAUGCUUUUCAAUGCCUCAUCUCUGUAUCACAGUUCACUUUUCACAGUUGUAUUAAUUAGAAGGCUCAUUGGAGAGAUUAUUAUAAAAUAAGCUUUAACUAUUAAUUGUAAUUUAACAACUAUUAAUUUUUCAUUUCAAGGUGAGAAAUCAGGAGAUGGUUCUUGAUAUUCUUAUAAAUGUCAAUUCUGUGCAGGUAUUUUCAGAUUUGGAGCGCUCUGCAUGUAGAAUGGUCCAUCGACAGGUUGCCACCAUUGCAUGGUUUGAAGCUGAUUCUGUUUGUGGCAGUCACUCCAUUGCGAUUCCUUUAGUCCUUGUUUCACAUUACUGUUUUCGAUUGUUCCAAUGCCUUCGACAAUACAAGGAAACUAGGGAGAAAACAGCUCUUUUUAAUGGUACAUGUGCUUUGAAAUUCUCCCUCCUCCCUCCUUCCACAUAUUAAAACAUCUUUUCCUUCACUUUUUUAAAAGACAUUAUAGACAUUGCAAAAUUUGUUUCCUCCAUGCAAAAAUAGUACUAUGAUCUAUUGCUAUUCAUCAUUUAGCUUCGGUGCACCAACUGGAAUGACCUGUAAUGAUCCAUUGCUAUCUUUACACUGAGAAUGACUUGUUGGGUUCAGUUUCUGAUAAUGACUAUUGCUCCACCUCCUCUCAAGGAUUGUCAUUUUGUCACUCUGAUACAACUUUUUGUUCUCGUUUUUAAUUUUUUUCAAAAUUCCCAUUUAUUAAUUUAUUGUCAAGUGUUACAAGCUAUGAUCACCCCCUCCUCUGUUCGGUCCCAUAUUUGGGUUUUGCGCACAGAUGGUCUUUAUUGCCUGUAAACUGCAAUAACUUCAUUUUCUAAUGGUUUCA